rnacentral:rRNA from 1 species
UACGGAGGGGGCUAGCGUUGUUCGGAAUUACUGGGCGUAAAGCGCACGUAGGCGGCUUUGUAAGUUAGAGGUGAAAGCCCGGGGCUCAACCCCGGAAUUGCCUUUAAGACUGCAUCGCUAGAAUUGUGGAGAGGUAAGUGGAAUUCCGAGUGUAGAGGUGAAAUUCGUAGAUAUUCGGAAGAAACACCAGUGGCGAAGGCGACUUACUGGACACAUAUUGACGCUGAGGUGCGAAAGCGUGGGGGAGCAAACAGGG